rnacentral:lncRNA from 1 species
GUCCUCUGUUUCAAUUGUGCAUGUAAGUACUUUGAGUUUGAGUCUCCACAUGUGAUCCAUUGUGCCCUAGAUUUUUUAUGAAGAAUCUGUUCUUCUAUUGUGCUCCAUUUCUCUACUUCUGUUAAGGAUUUUUUUCUUUGUCGAUCAGCUGCUGGUCCAGAUUUCUCACUAUCAGUUAUAAUUGUAUGGUCUGUAGCUUCUGUCUUGCUGCAUUGAGAUGGGUUCUAUAGGAUGCCAUAUGAGUGUUCAGUUCUUUCAAUUACCAUUUCAAUGAUUUGAGCUUGGUCCAUAACUUGUGCAUACU